AAUCAACGCUGGCGGCGUGCCUCAGACAUGCAAGUCGAACGCGAAAGUUUCCUUCGGGGAACAAGUAGAGUGGCGCACGGGUGAGUAACACGUAGGUAAUCUACCUUUGGAUGGGGAAUAACAACCGGAAACGGUUGCUAAUACCGCAUAAUGCAGCGGCACCUAAUGGUGACAGUUGUUAAAGCGGGGGAUCGAAAGACCUCGCGUCUGAAGAGGAGCCUGCGGCGGAUUAGCUAGNGGUAAGGUAAUGGCUUACCAAGGCGACGAUCCGUAACCGGCCUGAGAGGGCGGUCGGGUCACACUGACACUGACAUACGGGUCAGACUCCUACGGGAGGCAGCAGUCGGGAAUUUUGGGCAAUGGGCGAAAGCCUGACCCAGCAACGCCG
rnacentral:rRNA from 1 species